rnacentral:piRNA from 1 species
UGAGGUCAUGAGUGACUUCUCUAUCAGGGA